rnacentral:rRNA from 1 species
CCCUUAGAUGUUCUGGGCGGCCCGCGCACUACAAUGGCGUGUGCAGCGAGUGCCGGAGUAGAGUUUUCCGAGGUAUUCUUGCAAUGCUCGUUUUGAUGGGGAUAGACCCUUGCAACUGUUGGUUUUGAACGAGGAAUUCCUUGUAAGCAUGGUUUAUCAUCCGACGCUGAAUGCGUCCCUGCCCUUUGUACACACCGCCCGUCGCUCCUACCGAUGAGUCGUCCGGUGAAGUUCGUAGACCUCGUGAUCGCGGAUCACUGGGGGAAGCAAAAUGAACCUCGCGGUUUAGAGGAAGGAGAAGUCGUAACA